rnacentral:rRNA from 1 species
GAUGAACGCUGGCGGCGUGCCUAAUACAUGCAAGUCGAGCGAACGGACGAGAAGCUUGCUUCUCUGAUGUUAGCGGCGGACGGGUGAGUAACACGUGGAUAACCUACCUAUAAGACUGGGAUAACUUCGGGAAACCGGAGCUAAUACCGGAUGAUAUUUUGAACCGCAUGGUUCAAAAGUGAAAGACGGUCUUGCUGUCACUUAUAGAUGGAUCCGCGCUGCAUUAGCUAGUUGGUAAGGUAACGGCUUACCAAGGCAACGAUGCAUAGCCGACCUGAGAGGGUGAUCGGCCACACUGGAACUGAGACACGGUCCAGACUCCUACGGGAGGCAGCAGUAGGGAAUCUUCCGCAAUGGGCGAAAGCCUGACGGAGCAACGCCGCGUGAGUGAUGAAGGUCUUCGGAUCGUAAAACUCUGUUAUUAGGGAAGAACAUAUGUGUAAGUAACUGUGCACAUCUUGAUGGUACCUAAUCAGAAAGCCACGGCUAACUACGUG